AGCGAACGCUGGCGGCAGGCCUAACACAUGCAAGUCGAACGAACCUUUCGGGGUUAGUGGCGGACGGGUGAGUAACACGUGGGAACGUGCCUUUAGGUUCGGAAUAACUCAGGGAAACUUGUGCUAAUACCGAAUGUGCCCUUCGGGGGAAAGAUUAAUCGCCUUUAGAGCGGCCCGCGUCUGAUUAGCUAGUUGGUUGAGGUAAUGGCUCACCAAGGCGACGAUCAGUAGCUGGUCUGAGAGGAUGAUCAGCCACAUUGGGACUGAGACACGGCCCAAACUCGUACGGGAGGCAGCAGUGGGGAAUCUUGCGCAAUGGGCGAAAGCCUGACGCAGCCAUGCCGCGUGAAUGAUGAAGGUCUUAGGAUUGUAAAAUUCUUUCACCGGGGACGAUAAUGACGGUACCCGGAGAAGAAGCCCCGGCUAACUUCGUG
rnacentral:rRNA from 1 species